AGCGAACGCUGGCGGCAGGCCUAACACAUGCAAGUCGAACGAACCCUUCGGGGUUAGUGGCGGACGGGUGAGUAACACGUGGGAACGUGCCUUUAGGUUCGGAAUAACUCAGGGAAACUUGUGCUAAUACCGAAUGUGCCCUUCGGGGGAAAGAUUAAUCGCCUUUAGAGCGGCCCGCGUCUGAUUAGCUAGUUGGUUGAGGUAAUGGCGCACCAAGGCGACGAUCAGUAGCUGGUCUGAGAGGAUGAUCAGCCACAUUGGGACUGAGACACGGCCCAAACUCCUACGGGAGGCAGCAGUGGGGAAUCUUGCGCAAUGGGCGAAAGCCUGACGCAGCCAUGCCGCGUGAAUGAUGAAGGUCUUAGGAUUGUAAAAUUCUUUCACCGGGGACGAUAAUGACGGUACCCGGAGAAGAAGCCCCGGCUAACUUCGUG
rnacentral:rRNA from 1 species